AACGAACGCUGGCGGCAUGCCUAACACAUGCAAGUCGAACGAGACCUUCGGGUCUAGUGGCGCACGGGUGCGUAACGCGUGGGAACCUGCCCUUAGGUUCGGAAUAACUCCCCGAAAGGGGUGCUAAUACCGGAUAAUGUCUUCGGACCAAAGAUUUAUCGCCUUUGGAUGGGCCCGCGUUGGAUUAGCUAGUUGGUAGGGUAAAAGCCUACCAAGGCGACGAUCCAUAGCUGGUCUGAGAGGAUGAUCAGCCACACUGGGACUGAGACACGGCCCAGACUCUUACGGGAGGCAGCAGUGGGGAAUAUUGGACAGUGGGCGAAAGCCUGAUCCAGCAAGGCCGCGUGAGUGAUGAAGGCCUUAGGGUUGUAAAGCUCUUUUACCCGGGAUGAUAAUGACAGUACCGGGAGAAUAAGCUCCGGCUAACUCCGUG
rnacentral:rRNA from 1 species